UACGGAGGGUGCAAGCGUUGUUCGGAAUUAUUGGGCGUAAAGGGCGUGUAGGCGGUUCGUUAAGUCUGAUGUGAAAGCCCCGGGCUCAACCUGGGAAGUGCAUUGGAAACUGGCGAACUUGAGUACGGGAGAGGGCAGUGGAAUUCCUAGUGUAGGAGUGAAAUCCGUAGAUAUUAGGAGGAACACCGGUGGCGAAGGCGGCUGCCUGGACCGGAUACUGACGCUGAGACGCGAAAGCGUGGGGAGC
rnacentral:rRNA from 1 species